rnacentral:rRNA from 1 species
UGGGGAAUAUUGGACAAUGGGGGGAACCCUGAUCCAGCCAUGCCGCGUGUGUGAAGAAGGCCUUAUGGUUGUAAAGCACUUUAAGCGAGGAGGAGGGUACUGGUAUUAAUACUACCAGGUACUGGACGUUACUCGCAGAAUAAGCACCGGCUAACUCUGUGCCAGCAGCCGCGGUAAUACAGAGGGUGCAAGCGUUAAUCGGAAUUACUGGGCGUAAAGCGCGCGUAGGUGGUUCGUUAAGUUGAAUGUGAAAGCCCCGGGCUCAACCUGGGAACUGCAUCCAAAACUGGCGGGCUAGAGUAGGGCAGAGGGUGGGGGAAUUUCCUGUGUAGCGGUGAAAGGCGUAGAUAUAGGAAGGAACACCAGUGGCGAAGGCGACCACCUGGGCUCAUACUGACACUGAGGUGCGAAAGCGUGGGGAGCAAACAGG